rfam:Brachypodium distachyon strain Bd21 chromosome 2, whole genome shotgun sequence.
UUACUACUCCCUCCGUUCCAUAAUUCUUGUCAAAAUAUUACAUGUAUCUAGACGCUUUUUGGGAAUAGAUACAUCCGUUUUUAGCCAAAUCUGAGACAAGAAUUAUGGAACGGAGGUAGUACAUG